UCCAUAUGUAAAAAUGCUUAUAUCUGAGCAGAUUGCUUCAUCCAGAUGAGGAUUUGUUCCAUAACCCAAUCUUUCCACCUUCAUGGAUUGUACUUUUCUCUUCUCAGGAGAUUUGAACUCUCUCAACUCUUGAAACUGUUGACCUGGAAUCAACCACUUAGAGAAGCAUGGGAACAGCAUUUGACAUACACACCACCAAUGAGAGUUUCUUAAACAUGGUCCUGAGGACUGAUGGAAAAUAAAAUUUGAACCUAUAGUCCAUGACACUUCUGGCAGCAGGAAAAGUCCUCAAUAGCUUCUUUCAUCACUAGCCAUAUGGGGGACAUGGAUGUGACUCCUAGUUCUUGAGUAUGCUUCUGGUGCUUAUACAUAUCCAAGGGCUACCUCUGAGAAGCAGGAUUUACGAGUUGGGAGCUGCAGUUUCUAUAUGAAGAAAGUCAGUAGAAAUAAGACAUGUUACAGAUCUUCAGCGUGAAGUGGAGGAUCUCCUCCUUGCAAGCUGUAUGGGAACUGCUGAAUCACAGCCUGAACCUCUGACUGAUCACCUGAGUGAGCAAUAAGUCAGCCACGGGAGCACAGGUGAAGGCAAUUCACCUCUGCUGCCGAAAGGAUGGAGCCUGGUUGCACCUCUCUAGACGCAUUUAAGAGCUGACUGCCAGGAGGGAAGGAUCUCUUCUGGAGAUCCACUUUGCUGAAGUUUCAUAAGUGAGCCUAGGAUACAGCAGAGCUGCGGAGUGCCUCACAGUCAGUGAAAGGAGAAAGAUGCAGUGGAGAGAAGCAGUAGGCAGACAAAGUUCACAUGGAAUUUGUGGCCUGCUGUAAGGCAAAGAUCCCUCCAGAGACAAGACAGGAUGUACUUGGGCUGGGACUUAAUUCGGCUGCUCACACACAGGCAUCUAUUACCAUCUGAGAUCCCUUCAGAAGUCUAAGAAGCACACAGGACUGGAAGAUGUGGCACACAGAACCUCGGUGAGCAGUUGAUGUGUCCUGCCCUCCCCACUGGAUCUAGACUCAACUGCAAUGAAGGAUUCUCAAGGAGGCACAAGGAGGAUUCAGAGGAUCCAGGACCUUGCAUCACCUUUGGAAGCAUGAAGCAUAUUGAUUUGUGUGGAACGUUGCUGAUCCAGAAGAGAAGGAGUCUACCAUUGCUGGGGCCUUGUUCUCAACUUCUUUCCCUGGCUAUGCUGAAAUACAAGUAGUAACUGAAACAUACUUCAGUUCUGAGAGAAGACCAAACCUAUUCCUUUGAUGCUGAGCAAAUCUAACUUCAGGGAAUAUGCCUGCCAGCAGAUUCCCAGAACUCUGCUAGUUCAAAUCCCUGCCAGCACCCAGGAUCACAGGGCUGUGUGGAGAGGAGCCCAGGGGACAAAAGAGGACAAAUACCUCUCAUUGAGAGCUCACUAGAGCUCUGAUGGAGUUCUCCAAGUGUCCUUAAUUCUAUAUCUGUUCAGUGUGCCCAUGGUAUUAUCUGAUUUUUAAUUUUUGCACAGUUUCUGACGUAUCUCAUUAUUACCUUGGCACCCGAGGGCUGUGAUUUGCAGUACAGGGUCCAUUCCAGACCAUACUGAAUUAUAUCAGAAUUCCAAGGCAUGUUUGGCAGCUGCUAAUAGUGGCUGGCUAUUUUUAGAUUUAUUUUUUAUGUACUUCUCUCAGUUCAAAUCUGUCCUAUUUAAACUCUAUUUAAAAAUACAGACCAAUUUCAGACCAGCAAUAUUUUUCUUUCAAUUUCAGGGGUAUAUUUCUACUGCUUACAAAAAAGACCUUUUCACUUACCUUGCCUCUAAUUCAAUUUUUUUCUAGACUGUGUUGUAACUAUUUUGAGCCUCAAUCUUUAUCUCACCAGGAACUGUGUGAAAUUGUCUCUCAGAAAGAGGAUUGAAUUCCCUCUUGAACCCUUUGCACAAAGGGAAAUUUUUUUCACAUAUCCAGUGAUACCUAUUUCUGUAUUCUGAACAUAAGCAGGUCAGUAGAUACCAGAUUUUUUUAUGGCCCUGCCCCUCAGUCUUUGCUGUUUGAGUGCUGUCAGAUUUGCACUGCUCUAAUUCACAGAGCCAAAUUCAGUGACCCCCAGUGCUUGACAAUGGCUGGGGCCAUUUGCCGAGCUCAGAGCAGCAGAGGGAGUGGGAUUUGGCAGCUUCAGGGCCAGUAGCAGCAAGCAGAAGAAAACUUUUUCUGUCUUAUCUCAGCUGAACCUACACAGCUAUUGCCCUACGUGGACCUAAUUUUGUCCAAAACUCAUUGUUUUAGACAAUGAUAGGAGGGAAAUGUCAAGGGAAAAUGUACAGUCGAUUUUCCAAAGCAGCUGCCAAAACUGUCACAAACAUAUACAUACAGAGGAAAUAAUCAUACAGUACUAGUGAUGCUAAAUCCUCUCUGAAGCUGUUUUUAGCAUUUUGCUGAGUGAUGACACUCCCAAAGGAAGGAGGUGUGCUCUGUAGUCUAUCAGCAAAGUAUGAAAUGUAUUAGUAGGUCAUGCGAAGCUGAUUUGGCAAAAUCUCCAAUGCCAGCACAGUUAUUCCCAUUUUGGUUACAGUUUCAAGUUUGUUGUAACAUAGGAGCCACGUAUACAAACACUUGACAAAGUGAUAGGUAACAAAUGAGGAUUCUGCAACAUGUAGCGCUAUCACACUUCUAAAGCACUGUCUCCACAAAAUAAUUUCCCUAAGGCUGAAAGCCUGCUGGAUUUCUGAUUGCCAGAGAUAUCAGCUCCCACUUUCUAAUGCUAGAUUUCUUUGGAAUGUGCAAUGGAGCAUGACAGCAGAUGAAAAAUCUGGCCUGUUUAGUGGCAUGGUUUGGGGUUGAACAUUGGAAAGGGGAACUAGCUUUUUUUUCUUAGUAGAUCACUGCUUGAAGCUUCCUCAAUACUGUGAAAUACUUGUAAUGAUUACAACUACUGCAAAUAAAUGUAUAGAAAGGGAAAAAGAAAUCUAGAAACACAAUUUGAAUAUAAAGACCUCCAGCUGGAAA